AACACAUGCAAGUCGAGCGGAGAAGGGGGCGAACCCCUGUAAAGCGGCGCACGGUGAGUAACACGUAGGUAAUCUACCUCGAGGUGGUGGAUAACCUUCCGAAAGGAGGGCUAAUACAGCAUGGGACCACGUCUUCGAAAGAGGAUGAGGUAAAAGCGGGCCUCUAUACAUAAGCUCGCGCCACGAGAUGAGCCUGCGGCCCAUCAUGGUAGUUGGUAGGGUAACGGCCUACCAAGCCGAAGACGGGUAGCUGGUCUGAGAGGAUGAUCAGCCACACUGGAACUGAGACACGGUCCAGACUCCUACGGGAGGCAGCAGUGGGGAAUCUUGCGCAAUGGGCGAAAGCCUGACGCAGCGACGCCGCGUGAGUGAUGAAGGCCUUCGGGUUGUAAAGCUCUGUGGAGGGGGACGAAUAAGGGUUGGCUAACAUCCAGCUCGAUGACGGUACCCCUUUAGCAAGCACCGGCUAACUCUGUGCCAGCAGCCGCGGUAAGACAGAGGGUGC
rnacentral:rRNA from 1 species